GACGAACGCUGGCGGCGUGCCUAAUACAUGCAAGUUGAGCGCUGAAGGUUGGUACUUGUCCCUACUGGAUGAGCAGCGAACGGGUGAGUAACGCGUGGGGAAUCUGCCUUUGAGCGGGGGACAACAUUUGGAAACGAAUGCUAAUACCGCAUAAAAACUUUAAACACAAGUUUUAAGUUUGAAAGAUGCAAUUGCAUCACUCAAAGAUGAUCCCGCGUUGUAUUAGCUAGUUGGUGAGGUAAAGGCUCACCAAGGCGAUGAUACAUAGCCGACCUGAGAGGGUGAUCGGCCACAUUGGGACUGAGACACGGCCCAAACUCCUACGGGAGGCAGCAGUAGGGAAUCUUCGGCAAUGGACGAAAGUCUGACCGAGCAACGCCGCGUGAGUGAAGAAGGUUUUCGGAUCGUAAAACUCUGUUGGUAGAGAAGAACGUUGGUGAGAGUGGAAAGCUCAUCAAGUGACGGUAACUACCCAGAAAGGGACGGCUAACUACGUG
rnacentral:rRNA from 1 species